rnacentral:rRNA from 1 species
AUGGACGCUUACCUUAGUCGUCUCAUGAAUGAUAAUGUCAACCCUGACAUCCUCUUUGACGAUGAGUAUUACCUUUUUUCUGGUGAAGGCUCAGAUGUUGAUGACAUGGAGCACGACGAAUUGGAAGACUCAAGCAGCGGCGCCCUCGCUGCACGUCGCUCGGCGCACGCCGUGCCGCAGAGCUUCGAGCUGUCGUCGCUCCUUGCGGAGGGUGGCGGCGUCGGGGAGCAGUCGUCGCCCUGGCCGUGCCUGUGA